UGCAAGUCGAGCGGAAACGAGUUAUCUGAACCUUCGGGGAACGAUAACGGCGUCGAGCGGCGGACGGGUGAGUAAUGCCUGGGAAAUUGCCCUGAUGUGGGGGAUAACUAUUGGAAACGAUAGCUAAUACCGCAUAAUGUCUACGGACCAAAGAGGGGGACCUUCGGGCCUCUCGCUUCAGGAUAUGCCCAGGUGGGAUUAGCUAGUUGGUGAGGUAAUGGCUCACCAAGGCGACGAUCCCUAGCUGGUCUGAGAGGAUGAUCAGCCACACUGGAACUGAGACACGGUCCAGACUCCUACGGGAGGCAGCAGUGGGGAAUAUUGCACAAUGGGCGCAAGCCUGAUGCAGCCAUGCCGCGUGUAUGAAAGAAGCCUUCGGGUUGUAAAGGACUUUCAGUCGUGAGGAAGGCAAUA
rnacentral:rRNA from 1 species